AUAAAGUUUGAUUCUGACUUAUCAAAUUCGCUUUUUUAUAGUUGUACAUGUAUAUUUUUGUGGAUUGUUUAAUUUCUAAAUGUAAAUUAAAUUUAAUUCGCAGUUUUUUAUUUUAUUAAUUAUAGAUAUAUAGAUUUAGUUAAUUUAAGGAGCUCUGACCAAUAUUGUGCCAGCAGUCGCGGUUAUACAAUAAGAGCAAGUGAAUUUGUUUUGAUUUGUAUUUAUCUAGAUUUUAUAUUUAAUAUAAAAGUUCUUGAAGUGAAAUUAAGAUUUUUUGUUGAAUAUGUUUUGAGAUUGAAAUAUGAAAGUUCAUUGUGAGACUGGGAUUAGAGACCCCAUUAUUAUGAACAGUAAGUUUAUAAUCUUAGUAUUAAUAGUUAUGAUCUUUAAAUUAAAAGAAUUUGGCGGUAACUUAGUCUGUUCAGAGGAACCUGCCCUAUGAUCGAUAAUCCACGAUAAAUUUUACUUUUCUUAAACUUGUAUAUCUCUGUCAUUGAAUGUCUUAUUAGAGUAUUUUCUUUAAUCUUUAAUGAGGAAGAUGUCAGGUCAAGGUGCAGUAAUAGAGAAGAAGAGGUGGGUUACAUUUAAUAUAUUUAUGAAUAAAAGAAUGGAAAUAUUUUUGAAAUUGGAUUUGAAAGUAAUUUUUAUUAAAAUAUAGAAUUGAUUAUUAGCUCUAAGUUAUGUACAUAUCGCCCGUCACUCUCGUUAUUAAGAUGAGAUAAGUCGUAACAAAGUAGAUUUACCGGAAGGUGAAUCUGGUUGUAU
rnacentral:ncRNA from 1 species